CAAUUACUUUGUUGUUUAGAUUUUUGUAUUUUUGUAUCAAUAAAUUAAGAUAAUGUUAAUCAUAUUAAUAUUAGUCAUAUUAAUAUUACUAAAAGUCUUUCAACUUAAGCAUCUCUUAUACAUAUAUAGAAAUCAUUAAUGUUUUUUCUUGUUUUAUAUGACAUUUAUAAUUCCUGUGCUACUAAUUAUACAUUAUUAUUAACUACUGUCUACAGUUUACAUUGCUAAAUGUGCCAAAUUGGUAAGGGCCUCUUUGAAAAGAGGACAAUCAUUAGUUUGAAAUUAUCAUUCCUUAAAGAACUAACAAGUCUCACUUGUUUUUUAUGGUUUUUCAGGUUAGUAAUUGCAUGUUGAAUUAUUCUAAAGUUUAAUAAUGUACAUCAUAUUCAUU
rnacentral:lncRNA from 10 species